CUUAUUUUAUAUGUAAAAAUAAAUUUUAUUUAUUUAUUUAUUUAUUUGAGACCGAGUUUCACUCUUGUUACCCAGGCUGGAGUGCAAUGGCAUGAUCUUAGCUCACCGCAACCUCCGCCUCCUGGGUUCAAGCAAUUCUCCUGCCUCAGCCUCCUGAGUAGCUGGGAUUACAGGCACGCGCCACCAUGCCCAGCUAAUUUUUUGUGCUUUUAGUAGAGACGGAGUUUCACCAUGUUGAGCAGGAUGGUCUCGAUCUCUUGACCUUGUGAUCCACCUGCCUUGGCCUCCCAAAGUGCUGGGAUUACAGGCGUGAGCCACCGCGCCCAGCCCAAAAAUAAAUUUUUAAUCUAUAUAUUACUCUGCCUCUAUGGAUCUGCCUGGCACAGCCCACUCAGCUGCUUUCACAGGCUGACAUUGAGUGUCUACGGCUUUUCCAAGUCUGUUCCAGACUCAGAACAGAGCGACUCAGACUUGGAACACAGCGACUCAGAAUCAGGACACAGUGACUCAGACUCGGGACACAGCGACUCAGACUCGGAAGGGCCCUCUACAAAUCCAUUUUAAGCUUCUAUUAAAGACUACACAGGAAAAAGAUUUACUAUUUAUGGAGCAACCUUGAACAUAGUUUCUGGCAGGCAUCUUCAGAGGUAAGGGUUGCAUCAGCUGUGUUUCCACAAUUUCAGUGCUUAAGCUCACUAGCUAGUCUAGACAAUAAUUCCUCAACAAGCAUUUGAUAAACAUUCUAUUCUAAUUGUUUUAAUAGAAAACAAAGAAAAAAAUGGCUGGAGAAAAGUUUGAUUCCUCACUAAAGGACAAAACAAUUAUUUAAGAGACAUCAAUAAUAUAGUUCCAAAGGGCAAUGUAUUAACUCAGAUGGUUUUACAAUCAUUUCCUAAGGUAAAAAUUAAAAGGGCAAGGAAAGUUUUUAUUAGAAAAGAAAUUCAAAUUGGCACGAUGAUGUACAUCACAAUUUAAGGUCUAUAAAAUUACAUGUCUGCAGAAGGGAAUUGAAAAUUCCAUAAAGUUACAUGAGAAAAAUGUGGAUAAAGAGACCUAAUAUUGACUAAUUAGUCCAUAGUUAUCAUUAUUAAAAUUAAGAGGUUCCAGACCUGAAUUUUAUGGUUUUAUGACUCUAGUUUACAUCCUACUUUGCAUGUUUAUGCAAAAUAACAAGCACAUAUCAAAGAAACAAAUGAAAGGCACAUAAGACAAUUUUAUAGUGCCAUUCACUCCUUCAGCGUCACAGUUACUACUAGUGCUCAGUAUGUUCAGUUCUGUGUGGCAUUUCUCUAGCUAAGAUUCUUCUUUGCAGUCCUCAUUUUUAGGUUUACCAUGUAAGUAAAAUAAAUAAAUAAAUAAAUAUAUCUACCUCCUGAAUUAUCUGUAUUUCAUUUUUACUAAAAUCCUGAUAACAAAAAAAUUUGCAAUGUCAUUCUCAUCUUAUCAUCUGGCCAAGUAGAUGAGUAAAUGAACUGAAUGCACAUUGCCAAAAAACUAAUAUUCAUUUUUAAACCCUGAAAUUGCAUUCUUAGAGCAGUCUCAACAACAGCAAUAAAUCAUGACUAAAAGAGCACAUUCUGUCUGUCACACAUUCCAAAUACAGAUUACUUUUCAGAAAAGGGUGACAGUUAAUUUCAGAGAAAUACAUUUAACCUGCUUUUUCAUCUAUUGUUGUUGUUGUUUGAAUUAAGAAAAUGUGCUUUCAUUUUUGGCAUCAGGAUUUUCAAAUAUAAAAGCCAGAAUUGGUUCAUCAAGCAAUUGAAUCAUAAAAGCCAGAAUAUGGAGUUUAAAUAAGAAAUUAAGACCCAUAGAAACUAUGGAGUAUUGUUCAAUAUUAUGAAGUCAUAUUUCUUUAGUUGAACGAACUGAAGCAAAUAUAAAUCAAUUUUGGAAGAUACUAUAUUAGACUUUGGGGUCCAAGCUUUGACCUCCAUCUUUAUAAACGAGAGCACUAUGUAAUACAUAUCUUUGGUUAUUCUAAUGAUUAAGCCCCUUUGUCAUGUGGUCCAAGAACAGCUAAUCUCAUACUAC
ensembl:lncRNA